rnacentral:lncRNA from 1 species
GAGUGCUUGGUGAGUUUACUUAUUUUUGUUGGAGUCAACUCGAGACCUUGAUAGGUAGGCUCAUUUGCUGAUGAGGCGACUCAAUUAUACAGGCUAAGUCUACAUAUUUCUAUUUAUCUCAGUAUUGUGUCGACUCACUGUGAUAAGUCGAUUCGUAUACUAGGACGAGUCAACUUGAUUCUACGGACAGCAAAACUGUAUGAGA